rfam:Felis catus breed Abyssinian Contig145073.1, whole genome shotgun sequence. [26-MAY-2016]
GCCUGGGUGGCUCAGUCGGUUAGGCGUCUGACUUCGGCUCAGGUCAUGAUCUCGCGGUCCGUGGGUUCGAGCCCCGCGUCGGGCU